rnacentral:pre_miRNA from 1 species
CGGGGGAGCGCAGGGUCCUGGGCUGUGUCCCCCGCGCCCUGGGCUCUGGGGCCUGUGCUGCUGGAAUCGCGCUCCCAGGGCUGCAGCUCCGG